CGGGGCGUAGCGCAGCCUGGUAGCGCGCCUGCUUCGGGAGCAGGAGGCCGAAAGUUCGAAUCUUUUCGCCCCGACCA
rnacentral:tRNA from 1 species